GUGUCAGCAGCCGCGGUAAUACAGAGGGUGCGAGCGUUAAUCGGAAUUACUGGGCGUAAAGCGCACGUAGUCGGCUUGCCAAGUCGGGUGUGAAAUCCCCGGGCUCAACCUGGGAACUGCAUCCGAAACUGGCUUGCUAGAGUAUGGGAGAGGGAGGCGGAAUUUCUGGUGUAGCAGUGAAAUGCGUAGAUAUCAGAAGGAACAUCAGUGGCGAAGGCGGCCUCCUGGACCAAUACUGACGAUCAGGUGCGAAAGCGUGGGGAGCAAACAGGAUUAGAUACCCCUGUAGUCC
rnacentral:rRNA from 1 species